rnacentral:rRNA from 1 species
UUAAGCGACUAAGCGUACACGGUGGAUGCCCUGGCAGUCAGAGGCGAUGAAGGACGUGCUAAUCUGCGAUAAGCGUCGGUAAGGUGAUAUGAACCGUUAUAACCGGCGAUUUCCGAAUGGGGAAACCCAGUGUGUUUCGACACACUAUCAUUAACUGAAUCCAUAGGUUAAUGAGGCGAACCGGGGGAACUGAAACAUCUAAGUACCCCGAGGAAAAGAAAUCAACCGAGAUUCCCCCAGUAGCGGCGAGCGAACGGGGAGCAGCCCAGAGCCUGAAUCAGUAUGUGUGUUAGUGGAAGCGUCUGGAAAGGCGCGCGAUACAGGGUGACAGCCCCGUACACAAAAAUGCACAUGCUGUGAGCUCGAUGAGUAGGGCGGGACACGUGGUAUCCUGUCUGAAUAUGGGGGGACCAUCCUCCAAGGCUAAAUACUCCUGACUGACCGAUAGUGAACCAGUACCGUGAGGGAAAGGCGAAAAGAACCCCGGCGAGGGGAGUGAAAAAGAACCUGAAACCGUGUACGUACAAGCAGUGGGAGCACGCUUAGGCGUGUGACUGCGUACCUUUUGUAUAAUGGGUCAGCGACUUAUAUUCUGUAGCAAGGUUAACCGAAUAGGGGAGCCGAAGGGAAACCGAGUCUUAACUGGGCGUUAAGUUGCAGGGUAUAGACCCGAAACCCGGUGAUCUAGCCAUGGGCAGGUUGAAGGUUGGGUAACACUAACUGGAGGACCGAACCGACUAAUGUUGAAAAAUUAGCGGAUGACUUGUGGCUGGGGGUGAAAGGCCAAUCAAACCGGGAGAUAGCUGGUUCUCCCCGAAAGCUAUUUAGGUAGCGCCUCGUGAAUUCAUCUCCGGGGGUAGAGCACUGUUUCGGCAAGGGGGUCAUCCCGACUUACCAACCCGAUGCAAACUGCGAAUACCGGAGAAUGUUAUCACGGGAGACACACGGCGGGUGCUAACGUCCGUCGUGAAGAGGGAAACAACCCAGACCGCCAGCUAAGGUCCCAAAGUCAUGGUUAAGUGGGAAACGAUGUGGGAAGGCCCAGACAGCCAGGAUGUUGGCUUAGAAGCAGCCAUCAUUUAAAGAAAGCGUAAUAGCUCACUGGUCGAGUCGGCCUGCGCGGAAGAUGUAACGGGGCUAAACCAUGCACCGAAGCUGCGGCAGCGACGCUUAUGCGUUGUUGGGUAGGGGAGCGUUCUGUAAGCCUGCGAAGGUGUGCUGUGAGGCAUGCUGGAGGUAUCAGAAGUGCGAAUGCUGACAUAAGUAACGAUAAAGCGGGUGAAAAGCCCGCUCGCCGGAAGACCAAGGGUUCCUGUCCAACGUUAAUCGGGGCAGGGUGAGUCGACCCCUAAGGCGAGGCCGAAAGGCGUAGUCGAUGGGAAACAGGUUAAUAUUCCUGUACUUGGUGUUACUGCGAAGGGGGGACGGAGAAGGCUAUGUUGGCCGGGCGACGGUUGUCCCGGUUUAAGCGUGUAGGCUGGUUUUCCAGGCAAAUCCGGAAAAUCAAGGCUGAGGCGUGAUGACGAGGCACUACGGUGCUGAAGCAACAAAUGCCCUGCUUCCAGGAAAAGCCUCUAAGCAUCAGGUAACAUCAAAUCGUACCCCAAACCGACACAGGUGGUCAGGUAGAGAAUACCAAGGCGCUUGAGAGAACUCGGGUGAAGGAACUAGGCAAAAUGGUGCCGUAACUUCGGGAGAAGGCACGCUGAUAUGUAGGUGAAGUCCCUCGCGGAUGGAGCUGAAAUCAGUCGAAGAUACCAGCUGGCUGCAACUGUUUAUUAAAAACACAGCACUGUGCAAACACGAAAGUGGACGUAUACGGUGUGACGCCUGCCCGGUGCCGGAAGGUUAAUUGAUGGGGUUAGCGCAAGCGAAGCUCUUGAUCGAAGCCCCGGUAAACGGCGGCCGUAACUAUAACGGUCCUAAGGUAGCGAAAUUCCUUGUCGGGUAAGUUCCGACCUGCACGAAUGGCGUAAUGAUGGCCAGGCUGUCUCCACCCGAGACUCAGUGAAAUUGAACUCGCUGUGAAGAUGCAGUGUACCCGCGGCAAGACGGAAAGACCCCGUGAACCUUUACUAUAGCUUGACACUGAACAUUGAGCCUUGAUGUGUAGGAUAGGUGGGAGGCUUUGAAGUGUGGACGCCAGUCUGCAUGGAGCCGACCUUGAAAUACCACCCUUUAAUGUUUGAUGUUCUAACGUUGACCCGUAAUCCGGGUUGCGGACAGUGUCUGGUGGGUAGUUUGACUGGGGCGGUCUCCUCCUAAAGAGUAACGGAGGAGCACGAAGGUUGGCUAAUCCUGGUCGGACAUCAGGAGGUUAGUGCAAUGGCAUAAGCCAGCUUGACUGCGAGCGUGACGGCGCGAGCAGGUGCGAAAGCAGGUCAUAGUGAUCCGGUGGUUCUGAAUGGAAGGGCCAUCGCUCAACGGAUAAAAGGUACUCCGGGGAUAACAGGCUGAUACCGCCCAAGAGUUCAUAUCGACGGCGGUGUUUGGCACCUCGAUGUCGGCUCAUCACAUCCUGGGGCUGAAGUAGGUCCCAAGGGUAUGGCUGUUCGCCAUUUAAAGUGGUACGCGAGCUGGGUUUAGAACGUCGUGAGACAGUUCGGUCCCUAUCUGCCGUGGGCGCUGGAGAACUGAGGGGGGCUGCUCCUAGUACGAGAGGACCGGAGUGGACGCAUCACUGGUGUUCGGGUUGUCAUGCCAAUGGCACUGCCCGGUAGCUAAAUGCGGAAGAGAUAAGUGCUGAAAGCAUCUAAGCACGAAACUUGCCCCGAGAUGAGUUCUCCCUGACUCCUUGAGAGUCCUGAAGGAACGUUGAAGACGACGACGUUGAUAGGCCGGGUGUGUAAGCGCAGCGAUGCGUUGAGCUAACCGGUACUAAUGAACCGUGAGGCUUAACCUU